rnacentral:lncRNA from 1 species
GAACCGGAGGAGUCUCUUAAGCUUGCGUGUUCCCGGCUGCAGUGGCUGCCUUGCGGUAUGGGACGAGCGGGGCCCGAGCGGGCGGAAAUUUGAGAGUGUCAUGAGCAGUCUCUUAGUGCCCUUCAUAAGGGCAGUAUCUGUGUUUGAAAUAAGUUGAACCUUCAGCAGUUGGACUCACAUAGAGCAUUGUCUCCUCCACUGAGGUCCAUUCUGAAACAAGGAUUCUCCUUGGAACUCCAGGGACAGAACUUCCUGUAAACAUCUGGACUGUCCCCCCUGUGUGACCCAGAUGAAAAAAGAUGACCAAGGGCUUUCAGCCUCACUUAUGGGAGAGAGUGGAGUUGGGGGUAAGAGGAGUCCAAACAGAGAUUCUUAUAAUUUUCUGCAAAGAGGAAGCUUUGGAAACUGACUAAGAAUCUGUGUAAACAUAGUGAGUAAACAUGCAGACCAUUUCUCAGAACAAAAUGUGUGGACAGGGUUCCUCUGUUCUGUGGAUCCAAAGUGCCUCAUGAUGCUAAGGCAAGGUGGAUGGUGGAGACUUAGAAUGAACACAGACAUUUUCCAGGGGAAUAUUUUAACUUCCAGCCAAUCCUUUUCUUUUUAGGAUUUAACAUCAAUAUGAUCAUUUUCACUUUACAGAUGAAUGAAUUCAGGUGCAGACAUUGUGGCUCUCAGGUUUGCCCCAUGCAUCUGUGCUAAAGCCGGGGGAUGGCCCUCACCUCUCAGCAUUACCAAAUGAGCUUUCAGGCUAAUGCACUCUGAACUGGCAUCGUCUCCCAGUUGUGAGUGCUUUGAAAUAAAACAGAAGCUAUGCUACAGCUGAACAAUUCAAAUCAUUGGCAGAAAGUGUGGUAGGUAAAUGGCACUAUGAAAAAUGAAAAGCAUCUUGUUUCCUGUGAACUAAAAAUGGAUAGGUCCAAUUAUUGCCCCUUCCACACAUGAAGACUGCACAAAGUUAGUUAAUUAUAAAUAAUUCAUCCAACCAUAGAAGGGAUGAGCUAUAUGUUAUAUUACUGAGCUUUAAAAAUCUUUAUGAGUGUAGCAAGAGACACAUAUACCAACAGCUGCUAAAUUCAGAAUCCUGGGGCAGUAUCUUAUUUUAAUAUAAGGGAAGAACCACACAGUCUAUCGCUCUAGGGAUUUCCUGCUAUAUAAAAAGACCUUAAAUCUACAUGAGAUUUUACUCGUGAUUUCAAAGCACUUAAUAAAAAGCUGUUUUGUUUUGUUUUUUAAUUUGAAUAUCUUUUAACUCUACCCCCAGCCACACUAUUUACAACACAGAUAAUGCUUUCUGGACUAGAUUGCCCAAGGCAGAGGCUUCCUUUUUUCCUCCUGCCUAUUUCCUUCUUUACUUUUUUCUUUUCUUUUCUUUUCUCAUCCUUUCUUUUGUUAAAUUCUUCAACACCUAGCUCAGAGCCCAGCACUUUGUGUUGUGUGUGCAUUGACCGUUGAGCAUGAAUGAUCACCCUCACUGCCAGAAGAGUAAAAAGUCAUAAACAUCGGAGUGGGUUGCUGAGCUCUGAGCAGAAUCAGAAGCUCUAAUUCUCCCAGUGGCUCUGCGGAACUUCUGCCUACUGCACAAUCAGGAGUUGGAGCUGUGUCUUGGGGUGACUUAAUUCAAGUAAAACCUCAGACUGGGAUGUCAGCCAGCAUUCUAAGGAGAACUUCUGUAAGAAUGUUAUGUCUUAAAAUACGUAAAUUCAAGUUCUGAGCCUUAGAACAUAAGGCAAAUAGUACCUUGCCUUACAGAAGGAUAAAGUACAAGCAAUAAAACAAGCCAAGUUGCUGCCUAAAGUCCCUUGACUGAAAUCAUAUUUGUCCAUGAUCUCUUAUUUUGGUGGACCUUUAAUAACUGGGACAAGGAUAUUGAAGAACUAAUUGCUGUGCAUUCAGCAACUGACUGUGCGUGGGUCUGCAAGGCAUGCAACCCAUGCUUGUGCAGAACUUGGAAACUUGAAUCUGGGGAAGACUUAGUUUUUCAAACUCUUGCCAUAGCCCUUCCUUGAUAGGGUUUUACCUAUGAGAGCUCAGAUGCAGAUUUCUUGAGCCACUUAAUCAAGGCCAGAUGUAUACUCUAUUCAUCCACUAGCACUGUUAGGAUGAGUUUUGCCCCAGAGUUUGGGGAGAGAUAAGCAGCUGUGAUUGUACAGAAACAGACACCAAACUUAAGCUGAAAAUUUUACUGCACAAUUGGCCAGCAGUAGUAGGCCACACCAAUAAUAAAGACAAAACCACCAAUUUAAAGCAGCAGUAGAAUCUGGGAAAUGCUCUUUCUGCAAUUGCUUUGAAUACAAAACAUCUCAGAAUUACAGGGAUUUUGCCUGCAGAGUUGCUAAUGAAGAUGUGGCUGGCAGUGUCCCUCGAGUUUGUUUAUCCAGCUGUACAAGAGUCUGUAUGACAGUAACUGGAUUUAUAAAAAUUUAAAAAUACCAAAGCCAACUUCUGAAGAAAGAAGUUUCCCCUAAGUCCACUAAAACCUUGUAUUUAUAAAUGAGAAGCUUUAUUGCUACCACAUCUGCUUAUGUAUAGGUGUGCUUUUACUUGAAAGAAAAUUGUAGACAAGGUGAAACUUAAAAGGGGAGAACAAGAUGGGCCCUUCUUCUUCCUCCCCCUCCCUGUACCAGAGGUCAACUAUGGGGUGGGGGAUAAUUUUGCCCCUCAGGGGACAUUUGGCAGGGUCUGUAAUUUUGAUUUUGAUUGUUACAUUGUGGGAUGAGGAACUGCUGGCAUCUAGAGGCCUGGAACACUCUUGAGCAUCCUAGACUGCACUAGACUGCACUAGACUGCCCCUAACCCCAAACAAAGAAUUUCCAGCCCAGAAUGUCAGUACUACAUUCUGCCCUAGCCCACUGACUCCAAAAAUUGAGUAUGUGCAAAUUGUUGGUAGUUGUUUAAAUCAGAUCUUGAAUUCUCCCCUGGUUUUUCAAUCAGCUUUUGGCCAUUAGUUCCAGAGACAGCUGUUACCAGAUUUGUUCACACAGGGCCUUCUGUUUAGCAGAUCUUGGGUCAUUUAUCUUCCCUUGACCAAAGACACCACUAAACCUAGCUAUUUCACCUCAAAUGAAAGCCUAGGCUAGGUUUCCAGGUACAACUGGCAAUAAAUCAAUGACUACAAAACAGUAAGGGGAAAAUGUGACUUUAGGGUUAUCAGAAAUCCCCUGCCAAUGUUAAAAAAAUCAUAACCCUUCACAAACACACAAACCCCUCAAACGUUUUUUUUAAUUAGCUGAGUUUUUUUCCCUUUAGGACAAUGUUUUUCAAAUUAAAAUCCUGAACCCUCCAGUAUCAGAAAGACCAAGGUGUUAUUAAAAAUGUCAGUUUCUCAAAUCUGUCCGAACCCUCUGGAUUGAGAAUUCUCGAGUGUAUGAAUUUGGUAAUCUCCGCCUUUAAAAUGCACCUGAGGUACACACCAAAUUUUGAGUUACUGUUCUAAGGCAAGGAUUCUCAUUCUUUUCUUCCCUACACAACUGUGUGUGUGACUUUGGGGGUCUCUUUGGAUGUGUACCCAAAACAUCCCCAGGCUGACAGGAGCACAGAGACCAACGGGAUAGAAGUUGGUGUUGUAGAAUAACCCAGAGACAUGUGGGUAACUAUUUCACAGCUAGUUUAAUUAUUUUAUAUGCUAAUUGUUUAUUCACACCUGAGAGGGUGAGGCAAAUAGUAUUUCUAAAACAAAAAGGAAAGAAAAGACAAUCUAGUAACGGUGGAACUUGUAUUACAUGUUUUGGGGGCAAAUUGAUUUAAGUGAAAGGUAGCAGAGAAGUUUGUACUGGGGCCUUGAGUGGCCAACUGCAAUUCUUUAUGGAUUCCCCAGAAAGCAGCUGGGAGCUGGGAGCAGAUGUGACAGGCCAUCCCU